AUAAAACUACUAUUUGAUGAGCCUGGUUUAUAGGUGUGUAAUAAGAAUCGGCUUAUCUACUAAGGUGAACUUAUCGAAUUCGUUUAGCAUGCAUGUUUAGGUAUAGGGUUUCACGGCACGCCACCAGGACUCUCAGCAUAGUGAAUUUCAAGGAACGCCACCUGUUAUUGUGAUAGUAGAGUUUGAGUUUUAAAAAGGUUCGAUAACAACCUAGCUAUUUCUAGAUCUACUAUCAUCUAUUUCGUGAGAAUACCGUAAGCCUAACGUUUUAAUAAUCUUAGUUUACAUCCAUCUCAUAAUUUGCUAUUGCUUUCUUUUUAUUUUCUUAUCUUUUGUUUAGCUUAAUUCGAUAACCUUAGUCUAUUGUGUGAUCCGAUAAUGUUGUGGAAUUCGACCCUUAAGUACUACAAUCGAUCUCUUAUUUGAGAGAGUGGUCUUAAGGUAAUUUUACCUACAUCAAGUACUCCAGUGUU
rnacentral:sRNA from 1 species